rnacentral:lncRNA from 1 species
GUCAGCCUUGUCAUUGAAAACUCAUACAAAACCCAUAUACUCACAGCACUUCUGGGCAGCUUCGAUGCACAGCUCCUCAGAGGUAAACUCGCCACUGGUAUAACAAAUGGGGCUUUUAUCUUGCAGGUAGAAGAGUACCUCUAAGCCCUGGUGCUGAGCUUCCAAGUUUACUUCGCUCUUCUUCGUGCUCCUCAUUUUUGCACAGAAAGCCAUGGCUUUGCAGUCUUCUUUUACGUUUAGAUACUGCAUUUAUGUGUCUGUCUGAUCCUCAAUGCAACUGAAACAGAUUAUCUUCACGCUCUCCAAGGGUAACUUGUGUCUGGCUCUUUCGUCGCACCUCGGGCGGCCGUACCCCUCAGCCUCUCGCCCCAACGGGCCGGGGGACGGCACGGCCCGGGGUCAGCGAGAGCGGAGCCCGCAGCGCUCGACAGCGGCAGGGCGGCGGUCCGG